rnacentral:rRNA from 1 species
GAUGAACGCUGGCGGCGUGCCUUACACAUGCAAGUCGAACGGCAGCACGGGUGCUUGCACCUGGUGGCGAGUGGCGAACGGGUGAGUAAUACAUCGGAACGUACCUUAUCGUGGGGGAUAACGCAGCGAAAGCUGUGCUAAUACCGCAUACGCCCUGAGGGGGAAAGCGGGGGAUCGCAGGACCUCGCGCGAUUAGAGCGGCCGAUGCCUGAUUAGCUUGUUGGUGGGGUAAAAGCCCACCAAGGCGACGAUCAGUAGCUGGUCUGAGAGGACGUUCAGCCACACUGGGACUGAGACACGGCCCAGACUCCUACGGGAGGCAGCAGUGGGGAAUAUUGGACAAUGGGGGCAACCCUGAUCCAGCAAUGCCGCGUGAGUGAAGAAGGCCUUCGGGUUGUAAAGCUCUUUUGUCAGGGAAGAAACACCGGCUCUAACACAGUCUGGGAAUGACGGUACCUGAAGAAUAAGCACCGGCUAACUACGUGCCAGCCGCCGCGGUAA